GAACUGCCAGCAAACCGGAAAAAAAAAGAAUCAGCUCUUUGCAAAGCUCGACUCCUGCUCUUUAUGGGACAGAGAAUAAUCACAGUGCAAAGCCUGAAAGUGCCAAGUGCAGAAGCCUGGAGAGGACACCCCACUAGCAGUUCCGCUGAAUCGCACAAUGCCUGUGGAAGAGGCUUUUCCAAUUAGUUAUGUGACAGUGGGCUUUCAGCCUAUGCGCAUUCAACUGCUACUUUCUCUGGCCCGUGAGAACAUGGAAAAAGGACAAACACACCUUUAUGAACUUGGGAUGAGAAGCUAGCUCCAUGCUCAACAUCAUAGUUAACCCUCAGUUAACCCAAACAUUCCCCAGACUGCCACCAAACGGAUGUUCAGGAGCAUGGGGGAACAUUUAUCUGCCCUGUAGCCAUCACACUGUAGUCUUAAUUAAUUUUCUUUAUUGUGAUUUCCAAAUGGCCCAUCCCUCUGUAGUACCCUCUUAGCUCCCUGCGCCUUCUACUAGCAUAUCCUUUGUGAAACCCUCACAGCACAGAUCAUGCAACAGAACUGAUCAGAAAAGUGAAGCACAUGCAUUUGCAAGUAAUGAUGCAGCCAUCUUCUAUUCUGCAGCUUCGGAAAAAGAACAUUAAAAAAAUUAAAAGCCUUAGUUUUGCAAAUGGGGAUUUUCAAAAUAUUUUGUUUGGCAUUUCAGGGAUUUUUGAUUUCCACUCUAUUUAUCUUCUUUUUUAUUUAAUCUUUUCACUUGGUCAUGAGGGAAGAACAAAAGAGGAAGAAGAGGGAGGGAAAGAGUGGCAGGGGGAGUAGUCAGAGGGGAUGAAAAAGAAUAAAUCAAACUCAUUCCUGGAACAUUCAGGUUCAAACCUGGAAACUUUUAAGUUCUAUGGGAAAAAAGAAAAAUAA